UGUUCUCACAUUUUGCCCUUUAGCUAAAGCCGCGCGCAUAAUGAACGAAUAUGAUGAUGAUUAAGUUUGUUAUUGCUGAUUAUGAUGACUCAGAUGCACACUAAUGAUGAUGAUGAUUAGAAAAGAUGCCUUGUGACAAAAGAAGUCAAGACUUGUUUCUCUGUCAUCUUUGAAGUUGAACGCCCUCGGAAUCUCGUUUUCUGUCUUCUGUUUGCUCCUGCGCAGGGGGAGAAGAAGCUCGGCGAUAUGCACUGUGAGAAGAAGUGGCAUCGGUUGCUAGGGAACAAGACAUAAAAGUCGAUAACCGCCGUCUGAGCUCGGGCCAUCGCGCCUUCCUGAACCUGAUGGGAAAAUUCCAGCGGUUGACUUCGUGUUGCUGCCGCAAGGGAGCGCAAUGCCCCUAUGAGGACAUCCUGAUCCCCGGAGGAAAUCGAUGAUGCGAGCAGGGAGAGGACGAUAAACAGAGAUGCUUCCGACUGACUUGUCGAUCGAGCAAGAGCCCUCGCUCAAGUAAAGUUUUGAGUCUGACCGUCACUGGCAUCCGUCCGCUGCAUCUCAAAGGCUCUUUGACUCCACUCGUCCUCACGUUCGUCCCGCCGCCUCACUUCUGCCGCGUCGCUGUCCCCGCCCUCCCAGGACACCUUGUGAGCGGCGGGGCUGUGCUGACUGAGGCGGUGGCAGGGGGACGGCGGCGGCAGGUUGGUGGGCGCCACGCUGCAUACGGCCACACCCCGACGGUUGCUGCGCACGUUGGACGUGUCGGACAGGAAGCUGCUAAGCUGUCAACGAAAGACAAGAGCCGAGUGAGCAUUGGGUCUCACCAGCACCUGAGGAGGUCUCGUCAGGCCGCCGCCCCCUUCACCGUCUCCUCCGACGCCCGCCUUCCCUGGCGAGUUGGACACGCGCACCGCCUUGAACUCGAUGCCUUCUGCGCCCA